AGGCACUAGGAAGGCAAAGGGUUGUGUUUCUCUCAACAAAAUUAGACAAAUUUCCUCUUCAACUCAGAAUGGUUACAGCCUAACUUCUCACCAAAGUCUAAAACUCGAGUUAAAUUUUAAUCCUGAUAGGCAGAGCAAUGCCCCAUGGCAAUGCAAGAUGCCCGAUCACCAAGCAAAAAUGUAAUUAUUUUCAUUCUGCUCCAGAAACUUAGAAAGGUUUCUUCCCUGGAAGCAUGAAGAAUGCCCAAGGAAAGAAAAGGAGGUCAGGUUUGCUCUGCUGAAGCCGCUCUCAUUAUUGACAGCUUUGUGUCCUCUCCGAAUAUCUCAUCCUCUUCUUGUUGCAGAAGAAGUGCAAAAUAAGACUCUUAGAAUUUAGAUUAUAUUUUGAAAUCCCCACAUUUGGAUUUGCAGAUAUGCCAAUAUUUGGAUUUGUCGAGCUGUAAUUUAAGCUGGUCUCUCCCCUGGAACUGCCUGGUGAAAUGCAUCUUUCAUGAGGUUUCUGCAGGAGCCCAGCUACAAGCUCAGACUCCCAAGCACAAAUCAAACUCUGGUUCAACAUAAACAAUAUGAUGUCAGGGCCUCCUAAAACAGCAGGCCUCCAGCAGGGACUGGCUUCAAUGUCUCCCCACCCAUGUACCUUCUUCCAGGAAAAGAUUAAAAGCUUCCUCACAGACAAUUUAGCUGCAGGAUUAAUACAUGGAGAGCUGGUUUGGGGUGGGCUGCAGCCUCAGACCCCUUCUCAGAGUACCUGCUUUUCACCCCUACCCACAGGGUAAACUAGCUCUUGCCCAGACAGCUUCAGAAUCUGCUCUGUUGAUCUAAGCAAAUAAAAUGCAGAAGCCAAGGAAAAGGAUGUCAUUCCACAGCCUCCGGGCUUCCUUCCUUCAUCUGAAGGUCAAGUAAUAAUUCAGCCAAAAUGUGAAACUCUUUAUGCAGGACUUACAGUCAAAGGCAGGCAGGCUGGGAGGGCUAAGGAAAGCAGUUACAGGCCAGCAGCUCUCAAAGGUGAGACAGGCCCAGGCCUCACCUAUUGUGAAGAGUCUGAUUUUAAAAUAAAAAUGAAUGCCAAAAGCAGGCUAUAAUAUGUACUGUCCCUUUUAUUGGAUGGCCCUGUCUAUGCAGCUGCUGCUGUAUGUAUAACCUCGCCUGGCAAUGGGGGCUCGUUGUAAGAGUGGGGACUGGACUAAAACAUCAAUUUCUCUUUGCUCUUCUCCCCCUUUCCUGCUCUAUCCUAGCAAUAUCCCCAGCUUCACCCUCAUGACAGCCCUUGGCUUAGGGAGAGCAAUGACCAAGACAGGGAGGCACCCGAGCAGGGUGGCCAGCUGUCCUAGUUUGCCUAGAAUGUGGUGGGCCUUUCAGUGCUAAAACCAGGAAAGUCUUCGGCCAACUAAGUAUGUUGGUCACUCAGACCUGUCAGUUUCUGGCUGAGCAAACAAACAUAUAUGCUGGUGUUCCCUGAGGCUGCUGGACAGUGUGAAAAACAGACCUGGAAGCAGCCAGGUUUGGAUUCGAAUCCAGCCUCUCCCCUUGCAGUGGGCAAGAUUCAUAUUGACCUCCCUGGGCCUUUGUAUUCUUAUUUGGGAAAUGUCAACCAUAGGACUGAUAGGGAGAUUUUGUAAGAGGAUGCCCACAAUAAAUGGUUGGUUACCUUUUUAUUCCCCAUUACAAAAUCUUAUCUAGGCUGGGUAUGGUGGCUCAGGCCUGUAAUCCCAGCACUUUGGGAGGCCCCGG
rnacentral:lncRNA from 10 species